rnacentral:rRNA from 1 species
AUACGUAGGGUGCGAGCGUUGUCCGGAAUUACUGGGCGUAAAGAGCUCGUAGGUGGUUUGUCGCGUCGUCUGUGAAAUUCCGGGGCUUAACUCCGGGCGUGCAGGCGCUACGGGCAUAACUUGAGUACUGUAGGGGAGACUGGAAUUCCUGGUGUAGCGGUGAAAUGCGCAGAUAUCAGGAGGAACACCGGUGGCGAAGGCGGGUCUCUGGGCAGUAACUGACGCUGAGGAGCGAAAGCAUGGGUAGCGAACAGGAUUAGAUACCCUGGUAGUCCAUGCCGUAAACGGUGGGCGCUAGGUGUAGGGGUCUUCCACGACUUCUGUGCCGUAGCUAACGCAUUAAGCGCCCCGCCUGGGGAGUACGGCCGCAAGGCUAAAACUCAAAGGAAUUGACGGGG